rnacentral:SRP_RNA from 1 species
UCGUGCCAGACGGGGAGGUAGCGGUGCCCUGUACCUGCAACCCGCUAUAGCAGGGUCGCAUUCCUUCCUGAGGCGCGUGAUUGUAGGGUCUGGUACUGGCAAGCAGUAAUGAAGACCGGGUCCUGCGCAACGGAAACCUGUGAACCCCGUCAGGUUCGGAAGAAAGCAGCGGUAAGCAAGCAAUUCCGUGUGCCGCGGGGCGGCCUGGUCCGAGCCGGCUGUCGGUAGUCCGUCUGUAAUCACGCAUCGAGGGAAGGUGCACGG